rnacentral:rRNA from 1 species
CCUACGGGAGGCAGCAGUGGGGAAUUUUGGACAAUGGGCGCAAGCCUGGUCCAGCAAUGCCGCGUGAGUGAAGAAGGCCUUCGGGUUGUAAAGCUCUUUUGUCAGGGAAGAAACGGUGGGGGCUAAUAUCUCCUACUAAUGACGGUACCUGAAGAAUAAGCACCGGCUAACUACGUGCCAGCAGCCGCGGUAAUACGUAGGGUGCAAGCGUUAAUCGGAAUUACUGGGCGUAAAGCGUGCGCAGGCGGUUUUGUAAGUCUGUCGUGAAAGCCCCGGGCUCAACCUGGGAAUUGCGAUGGAGACUGCAAGGCUUGAAUCUGGCAGAGGGGGGUAGAAUUCCACGUGUAGCAGUGAAAUGCGUAGAGAUGUGGAGGAACACCGAUGGCGAAGGCAGCCCCCUGGGUCAAGAUUGACGCUCAUGCACGAAAGCGUGGGGAGCAAACAGGAUUAGAUACCCUGGUAGUCCACGCCCUAAACGAUGUCUACUAGUUGUCGGGUUUUAAUUAACUUGGUAACGCAGCUAACGCGUGAAGUAGACCGCCUGGGGAGUACGGUCGCAAGAAUUAAAACUCAAAUUGAAUUGACGG